UACGUAGGGGGCUAGCGUUGUCCGGAAUCAUUGGGCGUAAAGCGCGUGUAGGCGGUCCGGUAAGUCCGCUGUGAAAGUCGAGGGCUCAACCCUCGAAUGCCGGUGGAUACUGUCGGGCUUGAGUACGGGAGAGGCGAGUGGAAUUCCUGGUGUAGCGGUGGAAUGCGCAGAUAUCAGGAGGAACACCAAUAGCGAAGGCAGCUCGCUGGGACGGUACUGACGCUGAGACGCGAAAGCGUGGGGAGCGAACAGG
rnacentral:rRNA from 1 species